rnacentral:lncRNA from 1 species
UGGUAUAUUAGUUUUAACGAAAUAGUUUCUUACAAAUUUCACUUUUUUUUCUUUUUUUUUGUAAAAGCAAUUUUUAUUAUUUUCCUUCAAGAAUAACUACAUUUUCAUAAUUUCUUGAUUUAUCAAAUGAAUAAAUGUGUAUUUUCUAAAGUACAACAUUAUAUGACUAUUUUCACUUGUUUCUUGCACAGAUCAACGCUCCAUACUUUUCCUUUUUGGAGAGAUAAAGCUG